UAAGUGGCAAUAAAAUACAUUUCAGAGGACAUGUCUGUACUAUCAACCACAUUUAUGAGAUGGUCGCACAUUCUGAUGAAUAUUUCAUACCUGACAGAAUGAGCUGUACUGUACCUUUCACUACAGUAACAGAGGUAGCAGUAGUACACGGUGGUGUUAACAAACACAUAAGGGAAUUCAUUUUGUGGCUUUUCAACAUACCUAUAAUGGCAUGGUCAUAAAAGGUAUUAAGGUGAAGGCCUGUUCACUGAAGGACAAAGUUCGGACAAUUCACCUUACAUACAAAUGGACAAAGACGAAAAGACAGAUACAGUAUUUUACAGUUUUUUAUUACAGUGGCACACACAUAAAACCAAUGUUUCCAUGGAGCUUUUCCCUGCGUCAUCUGCGACCCUCAAUGUAACAGUUUACGACAACAAAUACUCACAAUGCAGGUAUUUUCAGUUGUGUUAAGACAGGAACUGACAUUUUAAAGUUUAGUCUGUUUUGUUAUUUGAUUAAAUACUUUUCACAUCACAUAGAGGAGACCCUUCCCUUCUGGCACCCUUCAAAGGGUUACAGCCAUUGUUACACUUGGCAGCUUGCUGUUAGGAGUAUAUGCUGAUAUGCAGGUUGUUUUAUUUUGCUACCUGAGGUAUCAGUGCAGACAUUUUUUCACAACAGUACUUGAGAAGGAAGAAAACAGACUGAAAUUCAAAAUGUCCAUGUAUCCCUGUCUUUGAGCCAAUGAUGUACCAAAUAUCAGAGACAUAUACAAAUACACAAGUAGCACACAAAGCUACUAAACCAGCCAUCUCGCUUUGAUUUGGAAACUUCAGGUGUAUAGUGAAGCUUAGCUGCUGAAUGCACCCUGACUAAAAGCCAUCAUGUUUCCAUUCGUCACUGUUGCAGGCAGUAGAUGUUUCAGCUUGAAUUGACUGCAUUGAGUGUAAAUAUUUCCACACACGUACAUCAGAAAUCGAAUAAGAACUUCUCCCAAUAUAUGAAAAUGAGCAGUUUAGGUUUGCGUCUUGAGACUCGUACAAGGCACCUGAGCACCAGAGCAUCUGCAAAUUUAACACAUUAUGAAUGUAAACACACUUGCUGAACACGUCCUCAACCAUCUGACUUUUAAACGCACAAAAUCAGCUGCUCAGCUUGGAGUGUGCUACAAACAUGAGAUAACACAUUCAUCCUCUAAACAACAUGAGAUCUGCCAGGCACAUGUUUGGUUUGGCAAGAUAAAUAUUUCAAACCUUUCCCUUGGUAUUCCUCACCCUCUCCUGUUUACAGCAUAUUGACAGAAAAAGAAAA